rnacentral:lncRNA from 1 species
AGAAACAAAGCUAACGUCUACACAUGAUUAUAGUAUAACGAAUUAGAAAAUAAAAAGCUGGAAAAAGAAGAGAAAAUGAAAGGAGAUACCUCAAUGAAUAUGAAAAUCUUUCGGUUGAAGUUUGAUGAAAUUUCCAAGCCUUGACCGAUAGCUGCCCUUUCUUUUUUUGUGUUUUGAUUUUGUGGGAAAAAAUGUGUAGAGGGAGCCCUUUUUGUUGUUCCUCUUGUCUUCUUUCUUCUGCCCAAAUCCGAGAGAGGAAGAGAGUGAGGAGUGGAAAGUGCUUCUUUUUUUUCUUUGUCUCUGACUUCCAAGAGAGAGCCGAGAGAGUGAGGAAGAUUGAGGAGUUAGUUUUUUUUUCUUUCUUUCCUUGUCUGAUUUUUCUUCUGUGUGUAUCGAGAGAGUGAAUUGAGGGAGUAGUUUUUUGAGCCCC